rnacentral:rRNA from 1 species
GAAUUUUGGACAAUGGGGGCAACCCUGAUCCAGCCAUCCCGCGUGUGCGAUGAAGGCCUUCGGGUGGUAAAGCACUUUUGGCAGGGAAGAAAAGGCUCUGGCUAAUACCUGGAGCUGCUGACGGUACCUGCAGACACAGCCCCGGCCAACUACGUGCCAGCCGCCGCGGGAAUACGUAGGGUGCAAGCGUUAAUCGGAAUUACUGGGAGUAAAGCGUGCGUGGGCGGUUCGGCAAGAAGGAUGUGAAAUCCCAGGGCUUAACCUUGGAACUGCAUUCUUAACUGCCGGGCUAGAGUAUGUCAGAGGGGGGUAGAAUUCCGCGUGUAGCAGUGAAAUGCGUAGAGAUGCGGAGGAAUACCGAUGGCGAAGGCAGCCCCCUGGGAUAAUACUGACGCUCAUGCACGAAAGCGUGGGGAGCAAAC